CAUGGGCGCUGCAGCAGCUACAAAGACGACGCCGGCUGCGCUCGCGGGACCAGAGGGAGGGAGGCUGCGGACGAGUGCGGGGAGGAGUUUGAGAUGGGAGGCGCUUGCAGGGGCUCCCCCAGUUCUGCGCUGUGAGCCGGGGCACAAAGAGCCCUCUGCACUAGCGCCGCAGGACCGCGGACCCGAGUUGGAGGCAUCUGUCCACCCAUGUGGUUCCAGACACGUUCAUGUGGCCACCAUGACCCCGUCGGCAUCACAGGGGUAACCAAGGUCCACAGAACGAGGGGAAAGGGUCACUGUGGAUCAAGCCAGGCUCCUCUGAGCAGUCCAGGGUCUAUUUACAGAGAGCAGCAAGUUCCUGGGACAGAGGAGACAGAAGGGAAUUUCCAGGUUCUUCAGGACGUUCACAACCACACUGAGAAGCAUCUUUGCAGAUAAGUAUUUAAACUUACCAGCCCAUAGCCUACCAGCCUGCCCUCUUCUGGUCUGUGCAGGAAAGUGUAGUAUCCUAGAAUGCCAAAGUGGGAGGGGAAAUGGGUGAUGUAGCUCAUUCUCUUUUCUACCUCUAUGGAAGAAAGAAAGAGCCUGUCCCCAUUUUGUGGGGUCCCAGAAAGGGUGAUUUUCACACUUCACAUUUGGCGUUAGGGCUAGUAUUUCACAAACAUUACCGUCUGGAACUUUUGAAGGCUGAGUUAAAUGACUUCAUCUUGUGUACUUGUAGAACUGCUAUUAGAAGGAGGCUGGGGACUCCCUGAUGAUGUGAACCAGCCCUUCUCUUCUCAGUUUCAGCACUUUGUGAUCAUAUUUAUAAACCUUGGACAGGGCUCCUUGGCCUUAGAGUUAAGUGAAGAGUUAACACUGUGACUUUAGAUGCAUUUUUCUCAGUGUAAGUGUCUGAGCUCAUCUCCAGUUCUGGACUCGUGCCCCCACUCCCGGGUGCUGACAGCAAGCUCUGAAGAUAUGCUGAGAGAGCUCCCUGACUCUCCUGACUCAGGUCUGCCAGUUGAUGAAGACAGCACAGUUGUUACCAAAAACAAAACCUGGCAGAUGGUCCUAGGUCAGGAUUAGUGGUCAUUCUCUGGUCUUCUCCAGACUGGUGACACAGGGUGGUCUUAAAAGAGUCCUAGUCCAGCCUCUGGCUCCCCGAAUUUCCUCUGGUGCAUGGGGCAUCAGGAAAGGGCAGGGGAGAAGGAGGGGGAGCAGAAAAAUAACUGAGGCUGGGCAGAAGGGUCCCUUCCAUUUCCCAUCCAUUGCUUCAAACAAUGGGUGAUUACCGUGCACCUUGAGUGAAUGUCAAGGCAGGAAGGGUUCCAGGGCCACCCAGUGUGGCAGGAGCAGAGCUGGGAUCAGAAUUCUGGAUUCCUGACUCUCCGUUCAGCUGCUAUUCAGCUAUCACCAAGCUGCUGAGUUUGUCCUACUUUCUCCUGGGUCACAUUCUGCUGUUGUUGGGAAACAGGGAGUGAGUGAAGGGAACCUGGGAACCCUUCUCCCCUCACCUUUUAAGGAUGUUCUGGGGUGGAAUAAAGAGAGGUGGAGGGUGGGGUGCCUGGGCCCAGCCUCCCUGGCUCCUGGUCCUUCUUUCUUCAGCAGGGAGUUCUGGCAAGGCCUGGGCCUGGGGAGGGGGCCUGGGUGCAGUUUUCUCCUGCGGUGUGGUUGGCUCUUUUGUCUUCCAGGAUGGGCCUGUGGGGUCUGUGUGGGGAAGGAAGGAGCUGGGAGCCUGGGCUGCCUGUGUGUCGGCUGGAUGCUGCCAGGUGGCUCCAUCUGGGCCGCAUCUCCAGGACUCCUGGCCUGGACUUCUCUUUGGACCUCGGGUGACCUUGGAUUCUGGCCACAGUGACUUAGCGGUCAGACUCCGGUGGUUUUCUAGCCCGCUGGGUGACUCCCUGAAGAUCUCAUCCUCUUCACACCUGUUGGGAUGGAGCCUCCCAUGGAUAGGAACUCUUCCUGGUUGAUGCUCAGCAGAUGACUGAUCUGGCUCUGGAGGACAGCUCCAGGGGUAUGAGGGAGGCCUGGCAGCCCACUACUCCCUCCUCACCUGCUCGGGCCCUGCCUGCUGGGCCCUAUUGUCUGGGUCUGGGGGCCCUUUCCUGCCCCAUGUGAACUUGAUUCCUCCUCGCGUUUCUGCCGGUGACCAGACAGAGCCUGGCCUGGGCCAAGUCCCCACUGACCACACUUUCCCCAAGGCUGGGUCUCAAAGGACCCUACAGGAUGGGGACAGGAACAAGGAUGGGAGUCGGGGAGGGGCUGUCAGGCAGAGGGCAGAUGCAGCUCCUCGGGUGCCGCUGGCUGGAGUCCUUUGUCUCCAUUUGCUCAGUGCGUAAUUGUCAUUUUGUGGGGGACUUCCUUGGUGGGGCUUUUCCAUGCUUUUCCUCUCCCUGAUGGUUACAAAGAGGAGACAGUCAGGAUCUGGGAGGAGCUGGAGCCUUCCCCCUGUGCUGUUGAACUCUGGGAGGGGCAGCCAGAGGGGCUGAGAGUGCACCAUCCUGAAAAGAGAGGGUCUUUAAGAGAUAAGAUUUAGGCUAGGGAAAUUCACUAGAAAGAGACAGGUGGCCCUGGGUUUUUUUUCCUGCCAUCCAAAGGGAACCAGUCUUACCCAAAGGCUUAAGGGGUCACCUUAGCCCAGUCUCAGGACACUCUUCUCCAAUCAGAUCGCUGCUUCUAGUUGCACUGCUCCUGGAUUCUGUUCUUGGGGAACAGAAGGUGGCAGGACAGGCCCCACAAUCUGCAAUUCCAGCUCCCUCCAGAGGAGACAGUCCCAGCGUUUGCAAGAGAGCAGCUUGUGGCCUCCCUUAGGCAAGUUUAAAAGCCAGAUGUCCUUUUUCCCAGAAUGCGGAGUGGUGUGUACUAUUCAUCAGCUUGGGCUGCCACAGCACCAUGCCAGACUGGAUGGCUUAAACAUCAGGAAUUUAUUUUCUGCCAGUUCUGGAGGCUGGAAAGUCCAGAUCAAGGUGUUAAGACUUGGUUUCUGGUGAGGCCUCUCUCCUUGGCUUGCAGGUGGCACCUUCUCACUAUGUCCUCACAUGGCCUUUUCUCUGUGGAGAGGGACAGAGAGCAUGAGCAGGCUCUGGUGUCUCCUCCUCUUCUUAUAAAGACACUAAUAUCACCAUAUUAGGGCUUAAACCUAUGACCUCAUUUAACCUUAACCCCUUAAAGGUCCCAUCUCCAAAAACAGUCACAUAGCAGGCUACUGCUUCAACAUAUGCAUUUGGGGGAGGGGACACCAUUCAGUUCUUAACAGGGUGGUCACCGCAAACAUGGAAAGUCAGAGCCUUCUCCCCUUCAGAAUUCCCGCCCCCACCCAGGGAUGGGGAGGAGGAGCAGAGAGGUAUGGGAAGCAGACACGGAGAGUGGCAGGUACCAUGCUGGGGUGGCUCAGGAGUGCUUCGGAGGACAUAUGGAACUGGCAGGGCUCAGUGCAGGGAGGCGGAGGCCCUGGGAGAGCCGUGUCCUGAGAAGGGCCUGGGCUACAACCCUGGGCAAGUUACUUCACCUCUGAGCCUCCGAUGCUCUGUGAAAUGGAAGGAAUGUGCUUGCCUGUCAGGUGCAGGGAGAAUUCAGUGAGAUUGUGUGCCUAGCACAGUGCCUGACUCCCAGUAGGUGCUCAGCAAAUGCUCCCAUCCAUCUGGGAGUAUAGACUUAGGGUUUAUCUAUUUUUUUUUUUUUUUGGCUCUCUGGACUUUAAAACUCAGCAUCUUCUGAACCAGAGGCAUUUCUGAUUAGCCCUUCCCUACCUAUUUUCCUAGUAUCACUCUUUAAUCAGCUUGGGGAGGUGGCAGCAUUUCAUGGCCUCCGUAGUAACUCACAAUGCUUCCUGGGGUAUUUAAAUUCUACUCUCUCAUCAGCACUGAGCACCUACUUUGGGCCCUUUCCCGUGCUAGCCAUUUGGGGGAAAUAUAGGUGAAGAGUGGCUGGGGUUUGAACCUUUAGGAUUUCACAGCCAUGCUGGAUGGGAUAAAACCAGCUCACAUGGAGAAUCAGAGAAUGGGACAGUGCCACAAAACAGUCUACUGAGGCACAAGUUCUGAGUGCCUGGGAAGUGGUAGAGAGACCCCAGAGAGGGCUGCUGCAGUCUGGAACAGCUUCCUAGCAAGCUGUACCAAACAGGGCCUUGAAGGAUGAGAAAGAUCUGGCUGAGAUGAUACCCGACCCUCUAGGGAAAUUCUUAAAGUAACUUCUAGGAAAUGUCAUUGCUCCUUAAAAAAAAAAAAAAAAAAAAAAAAGCAGGUUCUAAUUCAAAUUCCGCUGCACUACUGAAGUAGUGCAGGACUUAUCAGAACCUUUAAAAUGCUAAUGGCAAUUUCAAAUACUCAGGGACAGGGCAUAGGAUGAAGUGUUCCUUGACUUUUAUGGCCGUAGAAUCUUUUUCUCAUGGAACAUCGUUUAGAACUGUGGGAGAUGCUAGGCUGGGGUUUCUAUGGGAAAAGUACAGCAGUGAUAGAAGAUGGCAUAAUUAGGGUACACUUAGGUGCUUUGUAGCAUUGGCUGAAAAGGAAGCAGACCGGGUGGGCGUGGGGGAGUCUCAACUUGGUUCCAGGAGCCAGGCCAGCUUGAUGCGUUUUUUUUUUUUCUAAUGGUGGGAGGGCAGGCCAAUAGUUGGAGAAACUAGAGGCCUGACAGUCGGUGAUGGAAGAGAUGUCUACUAAGCACGGUUGUCAGAUCUUUUGCGGAGAGAUGCGGGUGUGCGUGUGUCUGUCAGAGUGUAACAGGAUCCAGCCCUCUGGGAAGGGGCUGACCAGAACCAGGCAGGGGGUUUCUGUCUAGGACAAGUAGGGUCCAUUUUCAGGGGAGCUGAAAUAUUUGCAGGGGGUGCUCUGAGACCCACAGCCAAUAAAUAGGGAAGCAACAUGCUUUUGGGCAGGGUCCAUGUGGUUAGGGUUGAUUUUGAUGGGGCUGGGGGGCUUAGAGUUAGACCCCCUGCCCUGGUCAGGCCCCACUCCCUGGCUGGUGGGGGCGGGAGGCCUCUGAAGCUGCAGCUGGAGGGGCCGGGGCAGUGUUGCAUGGUGUGAUUAACCUACUAACCCAGGGCUCAGCCGGGACGCUGUGGCGUGUGACGAGGUGCCUGGCCUUCUGCCAACCAACUAACCCACUAACCAGGCCCGAGCAUGCCCUACUAACCACCCCCCCGCAGCCAGAUCCUACUAACUGUGCAGCUCAUGGGCCUUUCAAGGGGCUGGGAUAUGGGGGCAGCCAAGGCUCCAGAAGGCUCUGCCUAUGGGCUGGGAUCUUUGUGCAGACCCACGUUCCAGGACAGAGAAUGCAAAUAAGACUCACCAACUCUGCCACUUCCUGUUGAGUGAGUUUGAGUAAGUCACCUCACUUCUCUCAACCUCAGUUUCCUCAGUGGUAGAAUGCGAGUUCUGAUACCUUACAGGUUGCAGUGAGGAUUCCCGUCAAUAUAAGGGUCUCAGCACAUGGCAGACACCUAAAAAAAAAAAAAGUAUGAGGAUGGAGGAAGGCCCCUCAAACCUGGUUGAACACGUCUGCUGCCUAGGCCCUGGCCUCUCUGGGUGUUCUGCACACAGAUCCUUCUGCCUGGGGCAAGACACUUGGCUUUGAAUCCAUGUCACUUCCCCACAUUCUUCCUCCGUCUCAGCUUUCUUUUCUGUAGGCAGCUCUUUUGUUCGAUUACUAACCCGUCUAACCCCUGGGGUGCCUCAACUGCACCCCGAUCAUCCCUUAACAAACUAACGGACCUGCGUGCGUUCUUCCUUUUCUCUUAGCGACUCCUGUGUGUGUCUGCUGAGGUGCCCUGUCCGCUGGUGCUGUGCUCUGACUUACUAACCCAGCCCCUACUAACCCUGUUUUCUCUUCUUACUAACCCCAGCCCUGCCGAGCUCUGGGCUCCCCCCGGGGGCUGGUCCCCCUCCUUUUGGCAAGCAGAUGACCUGGGGCUACUGGCCCUGUAGACAGAUGUCCCACUUUGCUGCCCCAUAUUGGCUGUAAGAUCAGAGUCCACUGGGCCAGGUCUAAGGCAGGGGAUGGCCCUAUUAACAAGACUCAGAGGAGGAAGAGGUGGUCCUGUGGAUGUGGGAGGCUGGACUCUGAGUAUGACAUCUCUCCUAUGUGCAGAAGUCUGGUUGCCACUGGGAGUAGGUGGGACCAGGGAAAUCUCUGGGACGUGAGUGUGGAGGCCUGUUGGUCUAGACUCUAGACUGUGGAGCUCUGAGCUUUUGUGUCCUCUGGAAGGAAGCUGGGGAAGAAUCCUCUCCAUUGUUAAGUGACGGGGAUAGAAGCUGUCCUGCACAGGAAGUCACGAGGGGGGCGUAUCCCACGAGGAAGGCAGGAGGGGGCGUGCCCCUCACCGGAAAUUAGCAGAGGGGCGUGUCCCACACCGGAAGUCAGAAAGCGGAGCCUUUCUUACACCGGAAGUCAAUGAAGCGGGUCUUUCCUACGCUAAAAACCACUGAGUGGAGUAUUUAGUACACAGGAAGUCGGCCAGAGAAACAUUUCUCAUAUUUGAAGGCCGGAAAGAGGGACAUUUCUGACACCGGAAGUCAGUGAGAGGACUCUUUCCCACACAGGAAGUCAGCUAGAGAGCCGUCUCCCCUCUCUGGAGCCGAGAGAGGCCGGUUUCCCCCACCGUAGCCCACCUGGGAGGAAUUUUCCAGAGAUCACUGUCUGAUGACCCUGUCUUGGAAUUGGAGCCAUGCAAGUUACACUGACCACGUUUGGGUUGGGAUAUUGAGGAGGUUAUGGUUAAAAGCAUACGAUGGGAGAUCAUAUUGUACUUGCGAGUGAGACCCGGCUGGAGGAAUGUUUUAAUUCUUCGGAAAUACCAAGUGGUCUCUGGGGACCUUUGGCCAUGUCUUGAGAUGUUUUUGGUUGCCGUGAUUGAGGAGGUGCUACCAGCGUCUGCUGGGCAGAGACCAGGGAUGCUGCUCCACAUCCCACAAUGCACAGGACAAUCUUCUCUACAGCAAUGAAUUAUCCAGUUCACAAUCUCAAUAGCACCAAUAUUGAGAAACCCUGUUGAAGAUGGAGACUAUCCACGGGGCAUUGAUCUUGGGGUCUCCCCCUUCCUGAAUACUUGAAGUCCCUCGGCAGACUCUUGGAUACCUCCAGCAAUGGGGAGCUCACCACCUGUUUUGAAGCCAGGCAGGUUUGGGCUCUUCUUGUAGCUGUGUGACUCUGGAUUUUCCCAUAGGUGGGAGUGGAUCCACCACCUUGAGCUUCAGUUUCCUCCAGUGCCAUGGGAUUAGCAGCAGCCCUGCCUCACAGAUUGCGUGAGGAUGAAAUGAGAUGAUGCUCCUGAGUUGGCUGGUGCAGUGCACGGUACACAGAGAGUGCUCAAUAAAUGUUCCCUGCUGUGAA
rnacentral:lncRNA from 1 species